GACAGAGGGUGCAAACGUUGUUCGGAAUUACUGGGCGUAAAGCGCGUGUAGGCUGCCUUGCAAGUCGGGUGUGAAAGCCCUGGGCUCAACCUAGGAAGUGCACUCGAAACUGCGGGGCUGGAGUCCUGGAGAGGAAGGCGGAAUUCUCGGUGUAGAGGUGAAAUUCGUAGAUAUCGAGAGGAACACCGGUGGCGAAGGCGGCCUUCUGGACAGUGACUGACGCUGAGGCACGAAAGCGUGGGGAGCAAAAGGG
rnacentral:rRNA from 1 species